AUAGAUCUCUCCAUCCAAAGCGAUGAUUCUGAAAAAACUCAAGAAAUAAAAACAAUAGGAUUGAGAAGUUAAAGGAUCAAAUUUUUCCAGAAAGAGAUCUUUCAAACAUGCAUUCUCUUCACAAUCGAUUCGUUCAAAGCAAGGUUUAACUACAGAUGAAGUUCACCUUUUCACAUAAUCCGACAAAAUAGAAGAGUUUCAUACUGCAAAGUCAGAGGAUGACUGAAGUCUCACACUAUAAAGAUAAGUGUUCUCUUAUAACAUAGAUUCUUUCUGUACUUUUGGAGCUUUUAGUAUAUUUUCUCUCUGAUUUUCUUAUAUUAUGCGUUUUCUAAUGAAUUUGUUUUAAAUGUUCUUCAUGGAAGUCCUGUAGUUGGAUAAAAUACAACAAAGAGGGAGCAAGUACGAAGUCUCAAACACUAAAGAUAAGUUUUCUCCUUUGUCUAUUGUCUUGAAGUUCUCGAUCAGUCACAUUAUUAACGAUUGCAGCAUAUAUUAAAUGUUACAAUACUAAUAUGGUAUUUUGUAUUAUAGUUCCCAAACGUUGUAUGGUGGAAUUCCAUAUUCUUUUCAAUCAUGAGCAACGGAAGAAGUGGUUAACAACAUAUACAGCACCAAAGCGUAUUCAGCAGAUCUUCUUAAACGCAGUAAGAGAAUUGGUAUUCUCAAUGAUAUACCGUGAGGUUUUCUAAAGGGGAGUCCACAAAGAUCAAUACAAAUGAAAAAGAUUGUAAACUUCAGAAAAUACCAAGUUUUGUCAUCUAAAGAGUGAAAAAAUCGAAACUGACUGAAGGAAUUACCAUGAAAUAGGACCCAAGAUGUGUAUCCAUACACUUAGAAGAUAAGUGUUUUACUCAAGACAGUUUAAUACAGAGAUGGCAUGAAAGAUAAUAAAUCCAAAUCAUGAAGGAUAAACGUAUGUACCACUUUGGCUUGGAUCAACAAUGUCGUUUUCCAUGGCCUAAUAUCAUCAACGUACGAAAUCUUUUGCUUGGAAGACAUUAUAUGAGAAACGUAUAGAAAACAGCGUGUUUGCUUUGAGGCUACAUGGUCAUUAUAUAUAAGAAACGUGAGGGCCGUGGGUUUAGGUUAUUCGCAUUCAAUUUAGUUAGAAAAUAUAGGCCGUGAGUUUAGGAAAAUCUCAUAUCUUGACCAUCAAGUUUAUUCAAGUUAUGGAAAAUUAGUUUUUCGGGUUUAUUAUAAUGGAUGUUUAAGUUA